CCACUGCAAAAGCUUCCAAGUUGGCUUUCUCUUUGUCAAACUGUUCAUCAAUAGGCACUGUCUCUCCUAAAAUAAGACAACAGAUAGGAAAGAGAAGACGUCUGAACUCCGGUCACU